AGCUCUACUGCUCGCCAGGGGGGCUGGGGGCUGGGGGCUGGGGAUGGUCUGGGCCACGCGCGCCGAGAAGGGGGUUGCCGUGCAGCACUCAGCCGUGCCCUAGCAGCGGGAACAGUACUGCAGUGGGCAAUCGGUGAUCUGGAGUAUUGUUUCUGCUGCCCGGGCAAGACUGGGACUCCCGCACGGGCCCACCCACCAGGUAAGUCCUAGUCCAGUGCCCGCCUUGUCUGCUCCAGCAACGAGACCCGGGUGAGGCGCGUUUGUCCUCGGUCCAACCUUGGCCCGCCUUUGAAUAGAUGUGAAAGAAACUGCAUUUUAGCACUCCUUUCCCCUUCAGGGUAAAAUUUAAGCGAGGGUGUGGGGGGAGAACCCUCCUGAUCACCCAGACUACCACUCACAGGACAAAAAACGAAGAAAGACUACCUUCAAGUCUCAGCAACUAAAUGGUGUGGGGUGGCGAGGAGGGGAGUAGUUGGAAAAGAAGUAAGGGGACGCCUUAAGGUGACCCUUUGCAAGCGGUCGCCAGGCCGCUGUGCGGCUCCUGGUAAAUGACUCACGUCCUGCAUGUGGAAAGGACACUGGAGUCCAGGAAAGAGAAUGUUUCUGGCCCCUUCUCGACACCUUCCCCACUCUUCUCCCUGUCUCUGUUGGGGGAAGCUUCUGCAGAGAUCUGGCGAGGCGCAGGGCCUGGCCCGCGGGUGAAUCCCAGGCUGCCUCGUAGAAAGGCGCUGACCUAAGUGAUCUGAGGCCUGCAGGGAGCGAGGUUACCCGAGGGGGUGGCUGUGGAAUGAGGCUCGGCGGUUCAAGCUGCUUCUUGCCCUAUCUCCCAAAAUCUGGUACCAGAAUUCCACUCUGGAGGCGCUUCCCCAAGGCCACCACAGUCACCCGGGGGCCCGCCCACAAGGGAUUGCCCCGCUGGCAGGGCACGGCUGGACAGCUCCUGAGAAAAUGGCAGCCCCUGAGCUGUCGACUCUGGGGCCCUCCGUGCCUGCAGAACUCCAGGAACUGUUACCAAUGGACCUCGAACGCUGUCUCCACCCCUCACUGUGCGCCCCCCAGUCUAGGCUAGGAGCUUGAGAGCCGGCCUAGAAAAGAGAGGACUCAUUCAUUCUCUGGCUGAGGUCGCACUUUGCCUGUGAAAAUCACUUUAGGUUUUUGGUUUGAUCCAGCGCAUGGGCAGGUCAAGGACUCUUGGCAAAGAUAGAGAGAGGUGUGGAAACUUUCCCACGCUUUCUGUCAUCCUAAAAGAAACCAAAGACGUGAAAGCCCCUCUGGUCUGUACAGGCUGCCUGGAACUGUCUUCCCGGGGGCCAGGAGUUGGACCCCUGGAGGAGGAGCAGGAGGAGGUCGGGUUUGGGAAGCCCGGGGUUCCAGGCAGCCCGAGCCGGGGCUCAGGCUCCCGCCGCCCCCACGCGCGCUCUCCCAGACUCCUUUGCGCUGAGGCCGGCGCGGGCGGGUCGGGGCCCUUCCGGCCACCGAGGACCUGAGGGCUCCGGGGGCGCCGCCACCCGGCUGCUUGGGGCCAGCCCGGUUCCCCGCGGCCGCCGCUGCCCCGCCCCGGCCUCGAUCCCGGACCGCGAACCCUGAAAGUUGGCUCGCGGCCGGCCCAGGGCCCCGCGGGCUCGCAAUCCCGAGGCCUGAACGGCGAACAGGUUCCCACACCCGCCUGGCUUUGCGCUUAGGGUAGGAAAGGCACCUCGAGACUGCCCCCGCGCCUCUCAUCUUCUCCCUUUCUCCCUGCUCAGGACGGGUCCCCUCGAGCCAGAAGGAGGCCUGGCAGCAGCCAGCGCCCAUCCCACGGGAGGACCAUGCCCGCGCCCUCCGGCUCCCUCCAGCGAGACCCAGGAACACUGCAUCAACACUCUUGGCCCGGAUCUGGACACAGAAGACUUCUGUUUCAAGAAAAUACAGUCAUCUCUCAAAUCCUGUAAUUUAUAUGCAUUCUAAACUCACUAGGUAUUGAAAACCACCCAAAUGUCCCACAACACGGGAUAAAAUAUAAUCAAUCACUCAGUGUAAUAUUAUGCAUCCUUUAAAAAUGUUAUUGGAAAAUGUUUUAUGAUCUGUAAGUCAAAAUAACCCUCUCCCACCAUUUCUUUCUCCCUGCUGCUCCCUGAUACCCAUGCUUCUUUGUUCCAAUUGGCAUGUAAGCUUGUUUUCCCUGCCAAAUGAGUCAGUCAUGAUGGGAACGUCAAUUGAUUUGAACAGAUGUGUGUCAAUGUUACUUGGAAAACUAGAUGCCAAUAACCACAGCCACACACACAAAAAAGGCAGUGGUUGCAACUAUGUAAAAAUUUAUGCAUACAUACAGACAGUGACUAAAGUGGAACCCCAAACAGGAAAACAGUUGGAUAUACUCCAGUGCUGGGACAUUAAAUGAUUGUAUGCUGCUUUUGAUUUUUAUUAAUAUGAAUAACUGUCCAAUUAAAAAGACCUACUAAGGAC